UACGAAGGGGGCUAGCGUUGCUCGGAAUUACUGGGCGUAAAGGGCGCGUAGGCGGAUAGUUUAGUCAGAGGUGAAAGCCCAGGGCUCAACCUUGGAAUUGCCUUUGAUACUGGCUAUCUUGAGUUCGGGAGAGGUGAGUGGAAUGCCGAGUGUAGAGGUGAAAUUCGUAGACUAUUCGGCGGAACACCAGUGGCGAAGGCGACUCACUGGCCCGAUACUGACGCUGAGGCGCGAAAGCGUGGGGAGCAAACAGG
rnacentral:rRNA from 1 species